UGGGGAAUAUUGCACAAUGGGCGCAAGCCUGAUGCAGCCAUGCCGCGUGUAUGAAGAAGGCCUUCGGGUUGUAUAGUACUUUCAGCGGGGAGGAAGGGAGUAAAGUUAAUACCUUUGCUCAUUGACGUUACCCGCAGAAGAAGCACCGGCUAACUCCGUGCCAGCAGCCGCGGUAAUACGGAGGGUGCAAGCGUUAAUCGGAAUUACUGGGCGUAAAGCGCACGCAGGCGGUUUGUUAAGUCAGAUGUGAAAUCCCCGGGCUCAACCUGGGAACUGCAUCUGAUACUGGCAAGCUUGAGUCGCGUAGAGGGUGGUAGAAUUCCAUGUGUAGCGAUGAAAUGCGUAGAGAUGUGGAGGAAUACCGGUGGCAAAGGCGGCCCCCUGGGCAAAGACUGACGCUCAGGUGCGAAAGCGUGGGGAGCAAACAGG
rnacentral:rRNA from 1 species